AUGGCCCUCCUGCACUCUAGCCGCGUCCUCUCCGGGAUUGCUGCUGCCUUUCACCCAGGCCUUGCUGCUGCAGCCUCUGCCAGAACCAGCUCCUGGUGGACCCAUGUUGAAAUGGGACCUCCAGAUCUUAUCCUGGGAGUUACUGAAGCCUUCAAGAGAGAUACCAAUAGCAAGAAGAUGAACCUGGGAGUUGGUGCCUACCAGGAUGAUAGCAGAAAGCCUUACCUGCUGUCCAGUGUCCGGAAGGCAGAGGCCCAGAUUGCUGCAAAAAAUUUCGACAAAGAAGACCUGCCCAUUGUGGGACUGGCUAAAUUUUGUAAGGCUUCUACAGAACUGGCCCUGGCUGGGAACAAAGAAGUGUUGGAAGUGUUGAAAAGCGGCCAGUUUUUCACUGUGCAGACCAUUUCCGGGACUGGUACCUUAAGGAUUGGAGCUAGUUUUCUGCAAAGAAUUUUUUAAGUUCAGCUGAAAUGUCUUUCUGCCCAAACCAAGGUUAUCGUUACUAUGACCCCAAGACUUGCGGCUUUGAUUGCUCCAGACCCCGAGAAGACAUAUCAAAAAAAAAAAAAAAAAUCCCAGAGCAGAGUGUUCUCCUGCAUGCCUGAGCUCACAACCCCAUGGGCAUGGAUCCACCUCCAGAGCAGUGGAAGGAAAUGGCAUCUGUGGUGAAAAAAAGAAUCUCUUCCCAUUCUUUGACAUGCCUACCAAGGCUUUGCCAGCGGUGAUGGUGAUAAGGAUGCCUGGGACGAGCUGCACUUCAUCGAGCAGGGCAUCAAUGUCUGCCUCUGCCAAUCAUAUGCCAAGAACAAGGGCCUGCACGGUAAGCGGGUGGGAGCCUUCACGGUGGUCUGCAAAGAUGCCUAAGAAGUCAAAAAGGUAGAGUCACAGCUGAAGAUCCUGAUCAUUGUACUCCAACCCACCUCUCAACGGGGCCCGGAUUGCCGCCACCAUCCUGACUUCUCCAGACUUGGGGAAGCAAUGGUUGCAAGAGGUGAAAGGCAAAACUGACCACAUCAUCAGCAUGAGAAACCAGCUGGUGGCCAACAUGAAGAAAGAGGACUCUUCCCACAACUGGCAGCAUAUCACUGACCAGAUCGGCAUGUUCUAUUUCACCGGUCUAAAGUCUGAGCAGGUGGGGCUGCUGACCAAGGAAUGUUGGAUCUACAUGACAAAGGAUGGCCGAAUCUCCGUGGCAGCGGUCACCUCUGGCAAUGUGGAUACCUUGCCCAUGCCAUUCACCAGGUCACCAACUAA